rnacentral:rRNA from 1 species
GUGCCAGCAGCCGCGGUAAGACGAACCGGACGAACGUUAUUCGGAAUUACUGGGCUUAAAGGGUUCGUAGGCGGCCUUGUAAGUGAGAUGUGAAAUCCCUCGGCUCAACCGAGGAAGUGCAUUUCAUACUGCAAGGCUUGAGGGAGACAGAGGUAAGCGGAACUGAUGGUGGAGCGGUGAAAUGCGUUGAUAUCAUCAGGAACACCGGUGGCGAAAGCGGCUUACUGGGUCUCUUCUGACGCUGAGGAACGAAAGCUAGGGGAGCGAACGGGAUUAGAAACCCCGGUAGUCC